rnacentral:siRNA from 1 species
UAUAACACGAAUGGUCCCGCA